GAAGAGAGGUGGGACAACCACCCAAGGCAAAGCAGACACAAUCGGUUGACUUGUAGGAAAAAAAGGAAGUUUCGUAAGGUGAAGAACCACCCUGUCCAUAGCAAUACUGCAAAAAUCAUCUGGGGAAGAAAAUGCCUGAAGCUCACUGAAUCUUUUAGCUGGUCUGACGGCCACCAAGAAGGUGACCUAGAGGAACGAAACGUGUAAGGGACACCUCUUCCAAAAGAUCGAAAGAGGGGCAGAAAGAGCUGGAAAAAUCAAUGAUAAACCCUAGCCAGGAAAAAAAAAAAACAGAUCUCUAGGAGGAUGUCUGGACCUGACAGAUCACAACAAACCUAUAGAUUAACAAACGGAUGCAAAAUCUUUCUGAGUGAAUCUGAGGACUGAGGCUUGAACUUCAAAGCAGAAAGACCCAAGUCUGCAGAAAAAAAUAAUUUACAGAAAAUAUUGAAACAUGCGUCUUAGAGACGGAUGAACAUGCGGGCAAUGGUG